rnacentral:lncRNA from 1 species
GGAUAAAGUACAUUAUUUUUUUGGAUAAAUUUUAAAUACCACUCCUGUUGUGUACUAUCUCACUUUAAUAUCAUGUAGUUUAGUAUUUUGUUAUUUCAAUUUUUUCUUUUCGUCGGCCCUUCCAUUAAUUUUUCAUUAAAUUAUAUAUAAAAACUUCAGAUACCCCAUCUAUAAUUUAACGAAUAUUUACUUUAAUACCAUUUAGUUUUAACUUUGUCGCUUAUUUAACGGAAAAAAUUAGUGGAGGGGAUAACAAAAGGAGAAAAAUAAAAUCGCAGGUAGAUCUGGCAAUUUCGACCCAAACCUGCAGGUGCCCACGGGUUACCCGCAAAUUUGCGGGUAUGGGUACCAAUUUUUUCAACCCAAAAAAUUACGGAUAAAACGGAUGGAUAGCUAUCGGCAUUUUGGGUAACCCGCGGGUACCCACACAUAUUUUUUAAUUACAAAUAUUUUUUCUUAAUUAAUAUAUAUUUUUUUUUACCUGUCAUAAAAAUUCUAAUCCUGAUUUCCUAUUGCGUGUCUUUUAUAUUAUGAAAUGUUUUUGCUUUAAGACUUUAAAUAUUUUUAUUGUAUGUUAUGAUAUUUUAAAUAAUAAGUUAUAUUACGCUUUUAAAAUUUAUAUAUAUGUGUUUUGCAUUAAAAAAAUAUAAGAGCAAAAAAUAAAAAAAAAUUUGUGGGUAACCCGCAUACCCACCCGCCCACCCGUCCACCCGCCGGUGGGUAUGGGUGACCCGCGGAUGGGUAUGGGUAAAAAUGUUGGUUACCCAGAAAUUUACAGGUAAAUUUUAUCCAUACCCAAGUAAUCCGAGGGUAUAAUAACCUGCCCGCGAGUUACCCAACCCGUCCGUUUGCCAGGUCUAAUCGCAGGGUACGAAAGUGAUAAAUUUUAAACCACAGGGUAUUAAAGUGAAAAAGUGUGAAAACACAGAGCUGGUAUUUGAAGCUUUUCGUAUUUUUUUUA